rnacentral:rRNA from 1 species
GAUGAACGCUGGCGGCGUGCUUAACACAUGCAAGUCGAACGAUGAAGCCCAGCUUGCUGGGUGGAUUAGUGGCGAACGGGUGAGUAACACGUGAGUAACCUGCCCUUAACUCUGGGAUAAGCCUGGGAAACUGGGUCUAAUACCGGAUAGGAGCGUCCACCGCAUGGUGGGUGUUGGAAAGAUUUAUCGGUCUUGGAUGGACUCGCGGCCUAUCAGCUUGUUGGUGAGGUAAUGGCUCACCAAGGCGACGACGGGUAGCCGGCCUGGGAGGGUGACCGGCCACACUGGGACUGAGACACGGCGCAGACGCCAACGGGAGGAAGCAGUGGGGAAUAUUGCACAAUGGGCGCAAGCCUGAUGCCGCGACGCCGCGUGAGGGAUGACGGCCUUCGGGUUGUAAACCUCUUUCAGUAGUGAAGAAGCGAAAGUGACGGUACCUGCAGAAGAAGCACCGGCUAACUACGUGCCAGCCGCCGCCGUAAGAC